rnacentral:rRNA from 1 species
AACGCGAAGAACCUUACCAAGGCUUGACAUAUAGAGGAAAAGUGCAGAGAUGCACUCCCCGCAAGGUCUCUAUACAGGUGGUGCAUGGUUGUCGUCAGCUCGUGUCGUGAGAUGUUGGGUUAAGUCCCGCAACGAGCGCAACCCUCGUCCUAUGUUGCCAGCACGUUAAGGUGGGAACUCAUGGGAUACUGCCGGGGUCAACUCGGAGGAAGGUGGGGAUGACGUCAAAUCAUCAUGCCCCUUAUGUCUUGGGCUUCACGCAUGCUACAAUGGCCGGUACAGAGGGCAGCAAUACCGCAAGGUGGAGCGAAUCCCAGAAAGCCGGUCUCAGUUCGGAUUGAGGUCUGCAACUCGACCUCAUGAAGUCGGAGUCGCUAGUAAUCGCGAAUCAGCAACGUCGCGGUGAAUACGUUCCCGGGUCUUGUACACACCG